GGAGUCGGACAGGCCAUCGUCGCGGACGGCAACGUCCGGGGAGGAAAGUCCGGGCUCCACAGGGCAGGACGCUGGGUAACGCCCAGCGGGAGCGAUCCCGGGAGAGCGCCACAGAAAGCAGACCGCCCGCGCCUUCGGGCGCGGGUAAGGGUGAAACGGUGGGGUAAGAGCCCACCAGUUGCCGCGGUGACGCGGCAAGCUCGGCAAGCCCCGUUCGGAGCAAGACCAAAUAGGAGGGCGCCAAGGCCGGCCCGGCCGUGCCCUCGGGUAGGUUGCUUGAGGCCGCGGGUAAUCGCGGUCCUAGAGGAAUGAUGGCCGCCCCGGAAUUUCCGGGGAACAAAACCCGGCUUAUCGGCCGACUCCCCUU
rnacentral:RNase_P_RNA from 3 species